ACUCCUACGGGAGGCAGCAGUGGGGAAUAUUGCACAAUGGGCGCAAGCCUGAUGCAGCAACGCCGCGUGAGUGAUGAAGGCCUUCGGGUCGUAAAGCUCUGUCCUCAAGGAAGAAUAAAUGACGGUACUUGAGGAGGAAGCCCCGGCUAACUACGUGCCAGCAGCCGCGGUAAUACGUAGGGGCAAGCGUUAUCCGGAAUCACUGGGCGUAAAGGGUGCGUAGGCGGUUUUUCAAGUCAGAAGUGAAAGGCUAUGGCUCAACCAUAGUAAGCUUUUGAAACUGUUAAAACUUGAGUGCAGGAGAGGAAAGUGGAAUUCCUAGUGUAGAGGUGAAAUUCGUAGAUAUUAGGAGGAACACCAGUGGCGAAGGCGACUUUCUGGACUGUAACUGACGCUGAGGCACGAAAGCGUGGGAGCGAACAGGAUUAGAUACCCUGGUAGACUGUCA
rnacentral:rRNA from 1 species